AUAAUUUUAAUAAAGCAGUAAAUGAUGGGGUAACCGAGUCUAGCUCGCCAAAAGGAGUUGACCGACCAGCUCACUCAUGAAAUUGGCAUAGCACAACAUGAUCAUGAGGGCUUUGGUCAAGCGUCCAAGAGGGGCCGACUACAUGCACUCUCCAUCGAGCGAUAAAUAAAUUAUUGCAUAAUAAUAAUAUCAUAUAUAUAAUCUUUAACUAGCAUUUUACAUACUCAAAAUAUAUGACAUAUUUUUUAAAUAUAAUAGCUAGCUAUUUCAACAUAUUGCAGCCAACCCGCCACAGCUGCUUCCGUCUCCACCAUCUUACUAACCUGAGAAGAUUGAAAAGAUUUGUGGGCUGAGUACUAGUGUACCCAGUGGGUCAUGCAUUUUUGAAAUAAUCAUUUUCAUAUGAUAGUCCAUGCACAUACGUGAAUUAUAGAAGGUUUUAAAAAUAAAACAUUUAACUUCUAUAAUCACAAAACAUUUUCAUUCAUUGCGCGCGCCAUACCGUAGCACCACUGUUACCCUUAUCAUUUCAUUCGUAGUCCCUCGGCGACCCCUGGGAAGUAAUCAUUCAUUCAUUCAUCAUUAACUAGAUGGGACCCCGGGACGAACCCAUGUCAGCUACACCAUCUAGUCGGAUUAAGGGCGAACCCAAAAUCCUCCUUUCGUCUAUAAGGCUCAUGGGGAUCAAUCCACUACCUUAAGACCGUGCGCACAACUUUUAAUAGGUGUGUGAGACCCAUUAAAAGCCACAAUUGUUAACAUAAGAGCAUUAAACAGUGGGAGAACGUGAAAACAUUUCAUGGACAUACCACAUUUCAAAUAAUGACAUUAGAGCUUAAUAACUCAAACAUACUUUGAAAAAUAUAACCCACCUUAAUCUUAUGAUGCUUUUUGUUAACUACUCCUUCUACUCGAUCAAUCUCUUACUACUCUACUAUAUUACAUAUCUUGACUAUGCCUUCUGUUAAUCCACUGAUCGGCUAUUUAUAGGCCUCCAAUUAUA
rnacentral:lncRNA from 1 species